AUUGAACGCUGGCGGCAUGCCCUACACAUGCAAGUCGAACGGCAGCACGGGACUCGGGCAACUGAGCCCUGGUGGCGAGUGGCGAACGGGUGAGUAAUGCAUCGGAACGUGCCCAGUAGUGGGGGAUAACUAGUCGAAAGAUUAGCUAAUACCGCAUACGACCUAUGGGUGAAAGCGGGGGAGUUCGCAAGAACCUCGCGUUAUCGGAGCGGCCGAUGUCUGAUUAGCUAGUUGGCGGGGUAAAAGCCCACCAAGGCUUCGAUCAGUAGCUGGUCUGAGAGGACGACCAGCCACACUGGGACUGAGACACGGCCCAGACUCCUACGGAGGCAGCAGUGGGGAAUUUUGGACAAUGGGCGCAAGCCUGAUCCAGCCAUG
rnacentral:rRNA from 1 species